rnacentral:precursor_RNA from 1 species
GCACCGGCCUAAUUGAACUUGAUGGUGAAAUUCUGGAAGAAGUGGAUACCUUUACAUACCUGGGGAGCAUCAUCGAUGAACAAGGAGGAUCCGAUGCA